GGAAUUUUGGACAAUGGGCGAAAGCCUGAUCCAGCAAUGCCGCGUGCAGGAUGAAGGCCUUCGGGUUGUAAACUGCUUUUGUACGGAACGAAACGGUUCUUUCUAAUAAAGAGAGCUAAUGACGGUACCGUAAGAAUAAGCACCGGCUAACUACGUGCCAGCAGCCGCGGUAAUACGUAGGGUGCAAGCGUUAAUCGGAAUUACUGGGCGUAAAGCGUGCGCAGGCGGUUAUGUAAGACAGUUGUGAAAUCCCCGGGCUCAACCUGGGAAUUGCAUCUGUGACUGCAUAGCUAGAGUACGGUAGAGGGGGAUGGAAUUCCGCGUGUAGCAGUGAAAUGCGUAGAUAUGCGGAGGAACACCGAUGGCGAAGGCAAUCCCCUUGAACUGUACUGACGCUCAUGCACGAAAGCGUGGGGAGCAAA
rnacentral:rRNA from 1 species